UACGAAGGGGGCUAGCGUUGUUCGGAAUCACUGGGCGUAAAGCGCACGUAGGCGGACUGGUCAGUUGGGGGUGAAAUCCCGGGGCUCAACCUCGGAACUGCCUUCAAUACUGCCAGUCUUGAGUCCGAGAGAGGUGAGUGGAAUUCCUAGUGUAGAGGUGAAAUUCGUAGAUAUUAGGAAGAACACCAGUGGCGAAGGCGGCUCGCUGGCUCGGUACUGACGCUGAGGUGCGAAAGCGUGGGGAGCAAACAGG
rnacentral:rRNA from 1 species